rnacentral:lncRNA from 1 species
UGAAAUGAAAUGAGGAGAAAUCUCUUUAUUUAGAAAAACAAGUCACUAAAAAAGAAAAAAAAUCCAAGGGCCAUUUUAAUGAGUUAAACAAUUAAAUCCAUGUAUUAAUCAAGUAACCAAGUUAAAAGGUAAAAGUUUGAAAUUCUAUAUCACUCAAUCGAUUAUUAACCCCUUUAAUCUAUUAGGAGGCGUGACACUUUGAUUAUAAUCAAUUGGAAGGCUAAGAAAAACCCUAAGCAUAGGAC